rnacentral:rRNA from 1 species
AGAGUUUGAUCAUGGCUCAGAUUGAACGCUGGCGGCAGGCCUAACACAUGCAAGUCGAGCGGCAGCGGGAAGUAGUUUACUACUUUGCCGGCGAGCGGCGGACGGGUGAGUAAUGUCUGGGGAUCUGCCUGAUGGAGGGGGAUAACUACUGGAAACGGUGGCUAAUACCGCAUGACCUCGCAAGAGCAAAGUGGGGGACCUUAGGGCCUCACGCCAUCGGAUGAACCCAGAUGGGAUUAGCUAGUAGGUGGGGUAAUGGCUCACCUAGGCGACGAUCCCUAGCUGGUCUGAGAGGAUGACCAGCCACACUGGAACUGAGACACGGUCCAGACUCCUACGGGAGGCAGCAGUGGGGAAUAUUGCACAAUGGGCGCAAGCCUGAUGCAGCCAUGCCGCGUGUGUGAAGAAGGCCUUCGGGUUGUAAAGCACUUUCAGCGAGGAGGAAGGGGUUGAGUUUAAUACGCUCAAUCAUUGACGUUACUCGCAGAAGAAGCACCGGCUAACUCCGUGCCAGCAGCCGCGGUAAUACGGAGGGUGCAAGCGUUAAUCGGAAUUACUGGGCGUAAAGCGCACGCAGGCGGUUUGUUAAGUCAGAUGUGAAAUCCCCGCGCUUAACGUGGGAACUGCAUUUGAAACUGGCAAGCUAGAGUCUUGUAGAGGGGGGUAGAAUUCCAGGUGUAGCGGUGAAAUGCGUAGAGAUCUGGAGGAAUACCGGUGGGCGAAGGCGGCCCCCUGGACAAAGACUGACGCUCAGGUGCGAAAGCGUGGGGAGCAAACAGGAUUAGAUACCCUGGUAGUCCACGCUGUAAACGAUGUCGACUUGGAGGUUGUGCCCUUGAGGCGUGGCUUCCGGAGCUAACGCGUUAAGUCGACCGCCUGGGGAGUACGGCCGCAAGGUUAAAACUCAAAUGAAUUGACGGGGGCCCGCACAAGCGGUGGAGCAUGUGGUUUAAUUCGAUGCAACGCGAAGAACCUUACCUACUCUUGACAUCCACAGAAUUUGGCAGAGAUGCUAAAGUGCCUUCGGGAACUGUGAGACAGGUGCUGCAUGGCUGUCGUCAGCUCGUGUUGUGAAAUGUUGGGUUAAGUCCCGCAACGAGCGCAACCCUUAUCCUUUGUUGCCAGCACGUAAUGGUGGGAACUCAAGGGAGACUGCCGGUGACAAACCGGAGGAAGGUGGGGAUGACGUCAAGUCAUCAUGGCCCUUACGAGUAGGGCUACACACGUGCUACAAUGGCAGAUACAAAGUGAAGCGAACUCGCGAGAGUCAGCGGACCACAUAAAGUCUGUCGUAGUCCGGAUUGGAGUCUGCAACUCGACUCCAUGAAGUCGGAAUCGCUAGUAAUCGUAGAUCAGAAUGCUACGGUGAAUACGUUCCCGGGCCUUGUACACACCGCCCGUCACACCAUGGGAGUGGGUUGCAAAAGAAGUAGGUAGCUUAACCUUCGGGAGGGCGCUUACCACUUUGUGAUUCAUGACUGGGGUGAAGUCGUAACAAGGUAACCGUAGGGGAACCUGCGGUUG